rnacentral:rRNA from 1 species
GUGAGGAAUAUUGGUCAAUGGACGAGAGUCUGAACCAGCCAAGUCGCGUGAAGGAAGACGGUUCUAUGAAUUGUAAACUUCUUUUGUGCAGGAAUAAAGUGGGUUACGUGUAACCUUUUGUAUGUACUGUACGAAUAAGGAUCGGCUAACUCCGUGCCAGCAGCCGCGGUAAUACGGAGGAUCCGAGCGUUAUCCGGAUUUAUUGGGUUUAAAGGGUGCGUAGGUGGAUUGAUAAGUCAGCGGUGAAAGUUUGCAGCUUAACUGUAAAAUUGCCGUUGAAACUGUCGGUCUGGAGUGCAAAUGAGGUAGGCGGAAUGUGUUGUGUAGCGGUGAAAUGCUUAGAUAUAACACAGAACUCCGAUUGCGAAGGCAGCUUACUGGGAUGCAACUGACACUGAUGCACGAAAGCGUGGGUAUCAAACAGGAUUAGAAACCCUAGUAGUCC